AUUGAACGCUGGCGGCAUGCCUUACACAUGCAAGUCGAACGGCAGCACGGGAGCAAUCCUGGUGGCGAGUGGCGAACGGGUGAGUAAUGUAUCGGAACGUGCCCGGUCGUGGGGGAUAACGUAGCGAAAGCUACGCUAAUACCGCAUGCGAUCUGUGGAUGAAAGCGGGGGACCGUAGGCCUCGCGCGAUUGGAGCGGCCGAUAUCAGAUUAGGUAGUUGGUGGGGUAAAGGCCUACCAAGCCGACGAUCUGUAGCUGGUCUGAGAGGACGACCAGCCACACUGGGACUGGGACACGGCCCAGACUCCUACGGGAGGCAGCAGUGGGGAAUUUUGGACAAUGGGCGCAAGCCUGAUCCAGCAAUGCCGCGUGCAGGAUGAAGGCCUUCGGGUUGUAAACUGCUUUUGUACGGAGCGAAAAGGCUCUCUCUAAUACAGGGGGCUCAUGACGGUACCGUAAGAAUAAGCACCGGCUAACUACGUGCCAGCCGCCGCAGUAA
rnacentral:rRNA from 1 species